UACGUAGGGUGCGAGCGUUGUCCGGAAUUAUUGGGCGUAAAGGGCUCGUAGGCGGUUUGUCGCGUCGGGAGUGAAAACACCGGGCUUAACUCGGUGCUUGCUUUCGAUACGGGCAGACUGGAGGUAUGCAGGGGAGAACGGAAUUCCUGGUGUAGCGGUGAAAUGCGCAGAUAUCAGGAGGAACACCGGUGGCGAAGGCGGUUCUCUGGGCAUGAUCUGACGCUGAGGAGCGAAAGUGUGGGGGAGCGAACAGG
rnacentral:rRNA from 1 species